CACGUAGGGUGCGAGCGUUGUCCGGAAUUAUUGGGCGUAAAGAGCUCGUAGGCGGUGUGUCGCGUCGGCCGUGAAAACCUGCAGCUUAACUGUGGGCUUGCGGUCGAUACGGGCAUCACUGGAGUUCGGCAGGGGAGACUGGAAUUCCUGGUGUAGCGGUGAAAUGCGUAGAUAUCGUAAGGAAGACCAGUGGCGAAGGCGGGUCUCUGGACAGUU
rnacentral:rRNA from 1 species